rnacentral:rRNA from 1 species
AAUCAACGCUGGCGGCGUGCCUCAGACAUGCAAGUCGAACGCGAAAGUCCCCCUCGGGGGACAAGUAGAGUGGCGCACGGGUGAGUAACACGUAGGUAAUCUACCUUCGGGUGGGGAAUAACAAUCGGAAACGGUUGCUAAUACCGCAUAAUGCAGCGGCACCUAAUGGUGACAGUUGUUAAAGCGGGGGAUCGCAAGAUCUCGCGCCUGAAGAGGAGCCUGCGGCGGAUUAGCUAGUUGGUAGGGUAAUGGCCUACCAAGGCGACGAUCCGUAGCCGGCCUGAGGAGGGCGGUCGGCCACACUGACACUGACAUACGGGUCAGACUCC